rnacentral:rRNA from 1 species
ACGCUCGACACCUACGGGAGGGCAGCAGUGGGGAAUAUUGCACAAUGGGGGAAACCCUGAUGCAGCGACGCCGCGUGAAGGAAGAAGUAUCUCGGUAUGUAAACUUCUAUCAGCAGGGAAGAAAAUGACGGUACCUGACUAAGAAGCCCCGGCUAACUACGUGCCAGCAGCCGCGGUAAUCUGAGCGGGCUGGCAAGGC